rnacentral:lncRNA from 1 species
GAUUCACAACGAAAUGGAUGUUUUUCUUCGAUGUGGACGAAUUCAUCUUCGUUCCAAAGAAAAGCACCAUUAACACAGUUAUGGAUUCGCUUUCGGACUACACCCAGUUCACCAUUGAACAAAGAACAAUGUCUAACAAGCUCUGUUACCUCGAUGAUCACGCUGGUAAAAUCUACAGGUAUUGUUUCUUAAUUCAAAAUUAGAUACUGAAUCUACUGAUUCAUUGACAUCAAAUUACAACCCUAGAUCUGAUUUUAAUUGAAUUUGCAUAAACAUUUAGCUGUAAAAAUUUGUCGUCUUUUUCAUAAUCAAAUCACACCAACAGUUCCAUGCGCCCAUGCCAUUGAUGAUUGAACAUGACAAAUGAGUUGUUUCAUUUGUUCUUGGAUCCCAUUGGUGGGUGAAUGUGACCGUUUGGGAUGGGUGGGUGUUGAAAGUGUCGAGCUUGUGGACCUGACUUUUUUUAAUCAUUUGGCCUUUUCUUUUGGGUUAAAUGUAACAAAUAGCAACAUUUUUAUUUAUUGAUUUGUUAAUUUAGGAUCUUAUCUUCAUUUUCUUACUAUUAUGGCAAAUAUUUCGAAUAAUGUUUGCAAUUAUAACAAUUUUACGUAAAUACAAAGCGAAAUUUUGUAAUUAUAACAAUGUUUGGUGUUAAACUCCAUUUUUGGUGCAAAGUUACUCCAUCCACAAAAUACCAUUUCUUAUUCCAAAUAUGGUGUUGUGAAUAGUUGUCAUACUAGAUGUGGGGUGUGAUACUAUUUAUUAACAAUAAAUUUGGUGUAAAAGUUACAUGUGUGCAAUUUUAUCUAGUUAAUUUACGAUUAUAGUCAUAACUCAUAAUUUAAAUGUAAUAAUUGUUUCCAAAUUAUUUAAAGAAAUUGAAUAUCUUUUUAUUACUUUAUAACAUGAUAACGUAUUUAAUAAUUUUAUGGUGUACUCAUUAUUUGUUUUGUUUUUACUAUCACAAUUAUUUUGAAAUGAUUAUAUACGAAUGAUUUAUUUGGUUAUAUUUGUUAAUAAUAUAGUUUAUAAAGUAAAUGUAAUAAAAAGAUUUAGGACAAAUUUGUAAGAACUAAUAAAAAUAAGGGGUAUUUUUGAAAAUCUAAGUCAGAAACCAUUUUGGAUGUAGAAAAUGAUAGUGAGUGGAGAUGGUCUAAGAAAAAAAUAUAAAGUGCACUGUUAUAAUUGGAUAAAAUUAAAAUUACAAUGUUAUUUUUGAGCAAAAUUUUCAAAGUGUAAUGCUUUAAUAAAAGAAAAACAGAAAGUACAAUAGGACAAUAGAAAGAGAUAAGUAAAAGUACUUUCCUGUAGUGUUCGUUACUUACUCUUUUGUCUUUUUUAUUAAAACAUUAUAUUUUAAUUAAUCUUCCCAUUUGUUUACUAUUGUAUGUUACAUUGUUACAUUCAUUUCUUCAUAAGUAUAUUAUAAUAACUCUAUCCAAUAGUAGCAAUACCAUUGGAAUACAAAUACGAAAUACGAAAUAGUUGAAGUAACAAUACUAUAAUUUAAUAAAAAGAAUUAGAAGUGAAAUUACAAUUAGAUGUUGUAAAGCAUAAAUUAAUAAAUGUAUGUUGCUAUUUCUUGUUGUCAGGAAAUGGGGGAUUGAGAAAUUGGUGUAUCGUGACACGGUGAAAGGGAUAAGAAGAGACCGAAAAUACGCAGUGCAACCACGAAAUGUGUUUGCAACGGGUGUACACAUGUCAGAAAACACCAUAGGGAAGACAACACAUAAAACGGAGGGAAAAAUAAUGUAUUAUCAUUACCAUGGGACAAUAUCUGAGAGAAGAGAGCCAUGUAGACAAUUGGUCAACAAAACCGAGAUGAAAGUCGGAGGAACGCCGUACAUGGUGGACAAGACGAUGAGGGAAGCCGCGUUCGCGGUUAAGCGGUUUGAGCUACGGAUGAUUGGGUC